UACGUAGGGUGCGAGCGUUGUCCGGAAUUAUUGGGCGUAAAGGGCUCGUAGGCGGUUUGUCGCGUCGGGAGUGAAAUCCACUGGCUUAACUGGUGGCUUGCUUUCGAUACGGGCAGACUGGAGGUAUGCAGGGGAGAACGGAAUUCCUGGCGUAGCGGUGGAAUGCGCAGAUAUCAGGAGGAACACCAAUAGCGAAGGCAGCUCGCUGGGACGGUAUUGACGCUAAGGCGCGAAAGCGUGGGGAGCAAACAGG
rnacentral:rRNA from 1 species